UGUAUCGGAAGCCUGACGAGGAUGAGAACCUCCGGGGGCAAGAGGUUCGACCCGAGCGAAGCGAGAGAACGUUGCGUCAGCAACGGCCCGCAGGGCGAGCCACGCAGUGGCGAGUCAUCCUCUAUCACCGACAG
rnacentral:sRNA from 2 species